ACAGAGGGUGCGAGCGUUAAUCGGAAUUACUGGGCGUAAAGCGCACGUAGGUGGCGACGUAAGUCGGGUGUGAAAGCCCCGGGUUCAACCUGGGAAUUGCAUUCGAGACUGCAUUGCUGGAGUACGGAAGAGGAGGGCGGAAUUCCCGGUGUAGCGGUGGAAUGCGUAGAUAUCGGGAGGAACAUCAGUGGCGAAAGCGGCACCCUGGCAUUAGCCUGACGCUCAGGUGCGAAAGCGUGGGGAGCGAACGGGA
rnacentral:rRNA from 1 species